rnacentral:rRNA from 1 species
CCUACGGGAGGCAGCAGUGGGGAAUAUUGCGCAAUGGGCGAAAGCCUGACGCAGCGACGCCGCGUGAGGGAUGAAGGUCUUCGGAUCGUAAACCUCUGUCAGCAGGGAAGAACGGUCACUGUGCUAAUCAGCAGUGAAUUGACGGUACCUGCAAAGGAAGCACCGGCUAACUCCGUGCCAGCAGCCGCGGUAAUACGGAGGGUGCGAGCGUUAAUCGGAAUUACUGGGCGUAAGGCGCUCGUAGGCGGUAUGUCAAGUCAAGGGUGAAAUCCCCGCGCUCAACGUGGGAACUGCCUUUGAAACUGGCAAACUGGAGUGUGUGAGAGGAUAGUGGAAUUCCAGGUGUAGGAGUGAAAGCCGUAGAUAUCUGGAGGAACAUCAGUGGCGAAGGCGACUAUCUGGCACAUAACUGACGCUGAGGAGCGAAAGCGUGGGUAGCAAACAGGAUUAGAUACCCUAGUAGUC